GGACUUAACGGGCCGGGGAGACACCAUGAUCAGGCAGGUGGUUUUCCCAGGGCGAGGCUCAUCCCCUGCACUCCAGGUAUGCUGACCCCUGCAAUUUCCCCAAAUGCGGGAAACUCAACUGCAUAAUUUGUGGUAGUGGGGGACUGCGGUGGAGAGUGAGGGUAGACAUGCUCCGC
rnacentral:snRNA from 1 species